GUCCCUGUAGCUCAGUGGAUAGAGCAACUGCCUUCUAAGCAGUGGGCCGCUGGUUCGAAUCCAGCCAGGGACGCCA
rnacentral:tRNA from 1 species